UACGAAGGGGGCUAGCGUUGCUCGGAAUCACUGGGCGUAAAGCGCACGUAGGCGGAUUGUUAAGUCGGGGGUGAAAUCCUGGAGCUCAACUCCAGAACUGCCUUCGAUACUGACGAUCUCGAGUCCGGGAGAGGUGAGCGGAACUCCGAGUGUAGAGGUGAAAUUUGUAGAUAUUCGGAAGAACACCAGUGGCGAAGGCGGCUCACUGGCCCGGUACUGACGCUGAGGUGCGAAAGCGUGGGGAGCAAACAGG
rnacentral:rRNA from 1 species